AAUUGGUACAUAAGGUUAGCUAGCUAUUGGAGGUUUGGGAAAUUUGGAUUAGACACCAGAGUACUGUACUCAGAUAUAGUAGUAAUUUAUAUUGAAAAGUGAAUUUGAGAUGUAUAUAUGGAUAGUUUGGUAUAUAUUUUGUGGAUGUAGUAAUUUGAAACUGUAAACGAAUGGUAUUAUUGGGAUGUAUUUUGAAUAGUUGAUACAUUUUGG
rnacentral:lncRNA from 1 species